GACGAACGCUGGCGGCGUGCUUAACACAUGCAAGUCGAACGGUAAGGCCCUUCGGGGUACACGAGUGGCGAACGGGUGAGUAACACGUGGGUGAUCUGCCCUGCACUUCGGGAUAAGCCUGGGAAACUGGGUCUAAUACCGGAUAGGACCACUGCCUGCAUGGGUGGUGGUGGAAAGCUUUUGCGGUGUGGGAUGGGCCCGCGGCCUAUCAGCUAGUUGGUGGGGUGAUGGCCUACCAGGGCGACGACGGGUAGCCGGCCUGAGAGGGUGACCGGCCACACUGGGACUGAGAUACGGCCCAGACUCCUACGGGAGGCAGCAGUGGGGAAUAUUGCACAAUGGGCGCAAGCCUGAUGCAGCGACGCCGCGUAAGGGAUGACGGCCUUCGGGUUGUAAACCUCUUUCAGCACCGACGAAGCGCAAGUGACGGUAGGUGCAGAAGAAGGACCGGCCAACUACGUGCCAGCCGCCGCAGUAA
rnacentral:rRNA from 1 species